rnacentral:rRNA from 1 species
CCUACGGGAGGCAGCAGUGAGGAAUAUUGGUCAAUGGACGAGAGUCUGAACCAGCCAAGUAGCGUGAAGGAUGACUGCCCUAUGGGUUGUAAACUUCUUUUAUAAAGGAAUAAAACGAGGCACGUGUGCCUUUUUGCAUGUACUUUAUGAAUAAGGAUCGUCUAACUCCGUUCCAGCAGCCGCGGUAAUACGGAGGAUCCGAGCGUUAUCCGGAUUUCUUGGGUUUAAAGGGAGCGUAGAUGGGUUGUUAAGUCAGUUGUGAAAGUUUGCGGCUCAACCGUAAAAUUGCAAUUGAUACUGGCAGUCUUGAGUACAGUUGAGGUAGGCGGAAUUCGUGGUGUAGCGGUGAAAUGCUUAGAUAUCACGAAGAACCCCGAUUGCGAAGGCAGCUUACUAAACUGUGACUGACAUUGAUGCUCGAAAGUGUGGGUAUCAAACAGGAUUAGAUACCCUAGUAGUC